rnacentral:rRNA from 1 species
GUAGCGGCGAGCGAAGCGGGAAGAGCUCAAAUUUGUAAUCUGGCGCUUUCGGCGUCCGAGUUGUAAUCUCUAGAAGUGUUUUCCGCGUUGGACCGCACACAAGUCUGUUGGAAUACAGCGGCACAGUGGUGAGACCCCCGUUCACGGUGCGGAUGCCCAAUGCUUUGUGAUACACUUUCGAAGAGUCGAGUUGUUUGGGAAUGCAGCUCAAAUUGGGUGGUAAAUUCCAUCUAAAGCUAAAUAUUGGCGAGAGACCGAUAGCGAACAAGUACCGUGAGGGAAAGAUGAAAAGCACUUUGGAAAGAGAGUUAACAGUACGUGAAAUUGUUGGAAGGGAAACGCUUGAAGUCAGACUUGCUAUUCGGGCAACCGAGUUGCAGGCCAGCAUCAGUUUUUCGGGGCGGAAAAUCACGGUUAGAAGGUAGCAGUUUCGGCUGUGUUAUAGCUUUCCGUUGGAUACGUCCUGGGGGACUGAGGAACGCAGCGUGCUUUUUGCAGGAGCUUCGGCUUCAUCACGCUUAGGAUGCUGGUGUAAUGGCUUUAAACGACCCGUCUU